rnacentral:rRNA from 1 species
CGAACGCUGGCGGCAGGCUUAACACAUGCAAGUCGAACGGGCCCUUCGGGGUCAGUGGCAGACGGGUGAGUAACGCGUGGGAACGUGCCCUUCAGUUCGGAAUAACCCAGGGAAACUUGGGCUAAUACCGGAUACGCGCGAGAGCAGAAAGAUUUAUCGCUGAAGGAUCGGCCCGCGUCUGAUUAGCUAGUUGGUAGGGUAAUGGCCUACCAAGGCGACGAUCAGUAGCUGGUCUGAGAGGAUGAUCAGCCACAUUGGGACUGAGACACGGCCCAAACUCCUACGGGAGGCAGCAGUGGGGAAUAUUGGACAAUGGGCGCAAGCCUGAUCCAGCCAUGCCGCGUGAGUGAUGAAGGCCUUAGGGUUGUAAAGCUCUUUCGUCCGGGACGAUAAUGACGGUACCGGAAGAAGAAGCCCCGGCUAACUUCGUGCCAGCAGCCGCGGUAAUACGAAGGGGGCUAGCGUUGUUCGGAAUCACUGGGCGUAAAGGGCGCGUAGGCGGCUUUGUAAGUCGGGGGUGAAAGCCUGUGGCUCAACCACAGAAUUGCCUUCGAUACUGCAUGGCUUGAGACCGGAAGAGGUAAGUGGAACUGCGAGUGUAGAGGUGAAAUUCGUAGAUAUUCGCAAGAACACCAGUGGCGAAGGCGGCUUACUGGUCCGGUUCUGACGCUGAGGCGCGAAAGCGUGGGGAGCAAACAGG